rnacentral:rRNA from 1 species
CUCGAUGUUCGGGGCCGCACGCGCGCCACACUGAAGGAAUCAGCGUGUGCUUUCCCGGUCCGGUAGGACUGGGUAACCCGUUGAACCUCCUUCGUGAUAGGGAUAGAGGCUUGUAUUUCCCCUUGAACGAGGAACUCCCAGUAAGCGCGAUCAUCAACUCGUGUUGAUACGUCCCUGCCUCUUGUCGCACCGCCCGUCGCUAAUACCGAUUGAAUGAUUUAGUGAGGUCCUCGGACUGGCUCUCGGAGCGGCCUCCUGGCCGGGCCGACGUGCCGGAAAGAUGACCAAACUUGAU